GCAAACUUGGUCAUUUAGAGGAAGUAAAAGUCGUAACAAGGUUUCCGUAGGUGAACCUGCGGAAGGAUCAUUAACGAAAUGUUUUGUCGAGAAGGGUUGUAGCUGGUCCUCUUCCCGGAGGGCAUGUGCACGCCUUGAUCGCAAAUCCACCCACACCUGUGCACGCGGUUCGGUGGUCUCUGGGGGAUCCCAAUCCUCUGGGGGCUGUCGGGCCUUCUCACACACACAAACACAUGUAUAAGAACGUAAAGUUUUGUAGCGCCUUAACAAAGCGUGAAUAAAUACAACUUUCAGCAACGGAUCUCUUGGCUCUCGCAUCGAUGAAGAACGCAGC
rnacentral:misc_RNA from 1 species